UACGGAGGGGGCUAGCGUUGUUCGGAAUUACUGGGCGUAAAGCGCACGUAGGCGGCUUUGUAAGUUAGAGGUGAAAGCCCGGGGCUCAACCCCGGAAUUGCCUUUAAGACUGCAUCGCUAGAAUUGUGGAGAGGUAAGUGGAAUUCCGAGUGUAGAGGUGAAAUUCGUAGAUAUUGGGAGGAACACCAGUGGCGAAGGCGGCUCA
rnacentral:rRNA from 1 species